rnacentral:rRNA from 1 species
UACGAAGGGUGCAAACGUUGCUCGGAAUUAUUGGGCGUAAAGCGCACGUAGGCGGCUUAGCAAGUUGGAUGUGAAAUCCCUCGGCUCAACCAAGGAAGUGCAUCCAAAACUGCUGAGCUUGAGUACUAAAGAGGGUCGCGGAAUUCCCGGUGUAGAGGUGAAAUUCGUAGAUAUCGGGAGGAACACCGGUGGCGAAGGCGGCGACCUGGGUAGAUACUGACGCUGAGGUGCGAAAGCGUGGGGAGCAAACAGG